UGGAGGGAGUGGCACCAUAAAGUCGGCGCUUGCCGAUAAUCCACAAAAAAAGCAGUUCCUUGUAUAGACUCGAUCCGUAAUUUCCAUCCCUUCUACGUAGACCGUCUACCUAAAAGAAAAAGCGCAAAAAACUAAACCUGUACAGUGGUCGUUGAGCAAUGGUCGAAUUGGCGUAUACGGUUUGGGUUGCUUUGGCAUAUACAAUAUAACGCUACCAAAUUAAUAAUUGCUCUUAUUUGUCUGUUCUAGUACAGGAGUUUUCGGAACCGUCAAAGGCUGAUGUGUGCGACGAAGCGGAAGGCGAUUGGUGUUGUAUGAUGAGUAGUGCAGGGUUACCGUCCUCUACCAGCGAAACCGUUGCUAUCACGCUUGAUGAUUAUACCUCUCAGGACUUGGCCGCGCGUCUGGCAUGAUCGGGGCCGACUUCGAGCAAAUCACGUUGACGUUCAGCUUCGCUAGGUGACAAGGAUCGACUGAAGUGUAAGAUGGCGACGUUGAAGCUUCACUAUAAGCUUACGACUGUUUGGCUACCACUGGAUUCAAGUACUAACGCACUAAGACAUCGAACUACUAGAAGGUUUUCAGGGGUGUCUUGCUAUCUUCGUCGGCCCAUUCCAGACGCAGUUUUACGGACUAAAAUUUUAAGUUUAGUUGAUAGGGAUUGAUAGAUGUAGUCACGUCAGAAGAUGUUUUGGUGGAGACUAUCCGAAAUGGCAUGGAGCCAGCACUUCUUAUCUUCAUAAAUAAAUACACUAGCGAAGAUAUGCAUGCAUUUGUAUAUCGUGCAGAUUUAUAGUUCGUCUAUCAGCCACUACGUUGUAAUAAGUAAUAGUGUUUAUAGUUGUGAUUUAAAAAAUUCGAUUUUGUGCGCUACGCCUUUAAUUUACGUUCGCAAUAAACAUCUAGGCUCUCCCGAUCGGUACGGAAGAGCUUUUCCGAGAAACAUAUAUACGCGUGUAUAUUAUAUAACCAGCAAGCAUCAUAUAUAAAUUCAGGCAAUGAAUAACUUGAAAUAUAUGUAGUUAUCUUGCCUUUCAUUGUAUUUAGACCAACCGGAAACUCAAAAGCAUAUCUCACAAGUCUUUGUCGUGACGAGAAUUUAUUCGAAAUUUCAAAUAUAUCACCACAAAUUGCCGUAGCACCUUAUAGCUUGCGUUUUCCUUGCAGAAGAUCCUUAGUUGGUUACUAGGAUAAAAUGGCCAUAUAUUAGCUUUCCUUACGUAAAGUAGUCGUUCAUCCUUAAGAAGAUUUUGUCGUCCGAUGUAAGGUACAGGUUGCUUAUAACAAGGGUCUGAGUAAGCGCGUACACACACAGACACAUACAUAUGUACAUAUAUGCGAACACGAAUUCAAGAGUUUAAAGCCUGGGAGGUUUGUGCCUUGUUUCGACGGUCAGCGAAUUGCGAUUUUAGUGGGACUAUGCAAUGUAGGCUGGUAUCAGCUUUGCAAAAACUAGUCUCAGUUUUAAGCCUACUGUUUUCGAAUAGAA
rnacentral:lncRNA from 1 species